rnacentral:rRNA from 1 species
CGCCGCCGCGGUAACACGGAGGGGGCUAGCGUUGUUCGGAAUCACUGGGCGUAAAGGGUGCGUAGGCGGGCAUUUAAGUCAGGGGUGAAAUCCCGAGGCUUAACCUCGGAACUGCCCUUGAUACUGGAUGUCCUGAGUCCGGAAGAGGUGAGUGGAACUGCGAGUGUAGAGGUGAAGUUCGUAGAUAUUCGCAAGAACACCGGUGGUGAGGGCGGCUCACUGGUCCGGAACUGACGCUGAGGCACGACAGCGUGGGGAGCAAACAGGAUUAGAUACCCCCGUAGUCCCUGUCUCUUAUACC